ACACCACCCCUUGAACAUGUGUAAAAGCCACGUACAGAAGUAAGAUUGGGAGAAGGUUUUGUGAACGGAUUGGCUUCAUGUUCAUGACUCUUUUCCCAUAGGCCUAUGCAUUCAAUGAGUGAAAAAGACAAACUGAGAAUGAGGCACGACUAGGGACAAUAAACUGAGAUUAAAAUAAUCUUACAGUUUUGGGGGCUCGUCCGGGAUAUUUCCAGACAGAUAAAACCAGACAAUGGCUUCUGGGAUGGUUGCCAAAAUAAAGAGCUAUGCUGUGCACUAAGCGAGGGAGGGAGGAAGAUGGAACAUGGCUGCAGAGAUAAGAAGAGGAUGGACCAUCAGCUCCACCCCUGAAAGAGAAAAUUGAUACUGUAUCUCAGAGGGGCUGGACUUGGAGAAACAACAAUGCAACAAGCUGCCCUGAGAAGAGAGACAGAGACACAACUGCAUCCUCCAGACCUCCAGUGCUCUCAUCAGAGACUGACACAUGGAUGAGGAGAAAGACGUGAAAAUAAAGACUCUUUCAGAAGUUCCAGUGCAAGUCCUACAGUAAUCUCAGAAAUGCCAGAUGAAUCUGAGAAAAGUAACACAUUCAACUGAAUGAUGAUCAAGCAAGACUUUCUAGCUCUUCCCUCGUGUGCAGGUACUGCAUAUUCAAUGAGCACUAGAGACCGCCUCAAAUUUUUAUUUGUCACAUCAAUUUGUAACUUGGCUAUUUUACUGGUCUCAUAGCAGUUCUUUAUAUUUUGAUAAACUAACAACACUGUGCUUUCUUUUGAUAGGCACCAGUUCAACCUUAUUAAAUGAAGCUAAGUGUUUGAUCUGAUUCAUAAAUCAGCUAAAAUUUGGACUGGACUUAGUAUAGUGAGGAGAUAUUUCAUAAAAUUCAGGGUAAACUGUUAAAUUAGAUCACUGGUGUUGCUGUGAAGUGUAGAGAGAGAGUGUAGAAUCUGCUCGCAAGCCAGAGCUUCCUAUAAAGCUGAUAAGCACAUUACAGAGUUCUGCUUAAAAAAGUGGACAAAUAGGGCACAAAGUGUCCAAGAACAAACUGUGGAUGGUAAAGCCAUGAUAUCCUUCACCCCAUCUUGGAUAACUGAUCUUUUAAGGGAUAAAUUUAAGUAAUAAUUCCAAAAUUCCUAGCUUAUGAAAUUAUAAAUGCUGUUAUUAACAGGGAUUACGAUUACAUGAUGUUAGCGGUUUGGCCAUGGAUCCAAGAAUAUGUGGAGAUCUCCAAACUUUUAUUAGAGCAGCUCAUGAGCAACACCAAAUUGAUAAUGAAGAUGAAAUUAUAUUAGACAGAUGAAUGAAAAAUUGCAUUUAAGAAAUGAAAAUUGGUUCUUCUAACUGUGGCAUAUAGGUCUAAAAGAUUAUUUGAUCAAUUAGAUAUUAAGAAAUCUCAAACCCAUUGCGACUGACAUCGUCUGACUGUAUGAGUCCAAACGCUUAGACACUGUCGCACGGUGAAUGCCACAGUGCCUACGUUCAGUAGUUUCCUUCGAAAUCGAAGUGGUGUUAUUCGAUUGGACUUGGUGGUGUAGGAAACUUUUUCCUCGUCAAAGCAGAGACCAGGAGACGUUGGGAUAUCUUUUAAGCAGAAGUUACUCUUUAUUGAGCAACGCGCUGUGCGUCGCUGUAGUCAUCCAAGUCUAAGGCAGUGUACAUUGUAGUUUAUAUACUUUUUAGGGGGCAGUGCUUAGGGAUGGAGACAAAGCACCUGGGAAACGACCUUAAACAAAGCAUGCAAAUUAAGUAUUCAGGUAUAGGAACCCGCCCCAGACUCUAGAGUGUCACAAGUCCUAAUCCAAUCAGCAUAACUAUUCAAUAAAUGGUACAGGGGCUCCAAGAGCCAUUAAAGACAAAAGCUGAGAAUCUCAGUAAUCUGACACAUUAGACAUACAAUAAAGAGAACAGGAACUGGCAGAAAACUCUUGCUGGAAACUUUGCUUAACAGAAUCAUUCAUCUGAUGUCAUCAUCUUUACCUUAAUAUGCUAAAUACAAUGUACUUCACCUUAGUAUUUCAUGUGAUGUUAUGUCAGGAUGUAGGAUCAGCAGAUCUUAAACAGAUUCUUAAAUUUGUAAUCCCACAGUGGUAUUCCACCCAUAGACAUUCCCUAUUCAGUUCACUGUCUGCGGAGACAGUGACAAAAAGAGAUGAUUCUCUGGCCAGAAAAUGGGGGUGUGAAAAUGUGUGAAAGUGUGUGUGAGUGAUGGUGCACCAAGGCAAACAAAAUACCAUAAACAGCUGUAUCCAAAUUUUCUAAGUGGGCACACAAAUUGGAUUAUGCCCAAUAAAAUAAUGGCCAUGGAUGAAUUUGGGUUAACUAUCCUGGCCUGGGUUGUUGUUGUGGCAGUGCCACACUCGCACAGUCUACAUCUAACUCUUCCUUUUCAGAAUGUCAUGAUGAAUUCCAUCUGCAGAAUUCCAUUCUGUGACAGGUGUAUGAAAUACAUUGUGAUUGUUAACAUUAACACAGAAAUUGGAAUGACAUGGGUUCAAGCCCUGCUCAAUGUAAUGAGAGAAUGGACAGCCCUCACCCCACAUUAAUUUUUUCACAGGUUACUACUGUGUCACUGCUGAUGAGUAAAUAUAUUUUGCCUCGAACAAAAGCAUUCUAAGAUUUCCAUUCACAGGUAGAAGCAGUUCUGUUAAUACAGAAGAUGUUCAUCCUACCAGGUUCAUCCUACCUCCGGGUGCUGACGUAUUGUUAACUGUAUGGAAAAUGACAAUGCUAUUGUCUUGUUUGGGUCUCAACUGGCUUAAAAGCCCGCUGUUUGCUCCAACUGAUCAAGAGCAUCCAAAGAACAGAGGAAGGAUCGACAAGCACCUCAUUGCUUAGCAGAAAAAAGAGUAAUGCAACAAAAACUGAUUAAAACGCCCUGAUGCUGAAGUAUAGAAUGAAGGGAUUGAGAUGUGGUCCAGUUGUAUGAUAUUUCUGAUCAUUUUGUUGCUUCAGAUUUCAGUAAUUGGGUCUAGUGUUGAUUUAGAUCUUACAAUUGAAUUUGAUUAAUUGGAUUCUCACACUAGAUACAUUACUGUUACAGGCUAAAAUUAAAGGGAGUACAAACUAUCCGUAAAAGAGAUGAACGUGAGCACUUUUAGAAGUUUUCCUGACAGUAAAAGUCUGACUUUCUGUUUUUUUUGUGAUGUUGUCACACAAUGUGUAAUGUUUGGAUAGAAGAUUUUGUGGAAGCUGACAAAAUAGUUGUCUACAGUGAAUUUUUACCCACUGUUUUAGAAUGUAAGGGCAUGUUAAUUGAAGUUUGAAGAUGUUUUAUGAAGGUAAAUAAAUAUUGAAGGUAAAAGAAA